UACGUAGGUGGCAAGCGUUGUCCGGAUUUACUGGGCGUAAAGAGCGCGCAGGCGGUCUUUUAAGUCGAAUGUGAAAGCCCCCGGCUCAACUGGGGAGGGUCAUUCGAUACUGAUCGACUUGAAGGCAGGAGAGGGUAGUGGAAUUCCCGGUGUAGUGGUGAAAUGCGUAGAUAUCUGGAGGAACACCGGUGGCGAAGGCGGCAGUCCUGGACCACGACUGACGCUGAGUGAGCGAAAGCCAGGGGAGCAAACGGGAUUAGAU
rnacentral:rRNA from 1 species